rnacentral:lncRNA from 1 species
UUAGUCUGCUUCCCGGCCGUUAUUGAAAUUCUUGACAAUACCGUCCGGUAUGGGCUAAUUUUACUAUUUCAAACAGCCGAUUUCCGAGCAUGCGCAUUCACCCUGGUCGUUCAAAUUCUUCGCUUCAAAGAUGUGAGAGCAGGACAUAAAGCACUGAAACUGUUGACUGAAGUAAUUUUGUGUUGCCCAAAUUGAAAAUAAGAAACUUAUAUAUCAUCUGAACGAUAUUAUUCAGUUUUUAAAAAUGCAAAUCCUAUAUUCUCAAAUGGGCAAGCUUUUGAAGUGGCCAAUUUGUCCAUUGUUUAUGUUUUACUCGCAACACCAGCUUCAAUUACACUGAUAGGAGACGAAACAAACAAUGUAAACCAUAAAUUAUCUUAAUUUUCACUGUAUUUUCACUGUAUACAGAUUUCUUCAUGAAAAGAAGUGUUUAAAUAGAUACUUAAAGGAAAAAAGAGCUGAAAAACAUUUUUUAAUCGUUCUGAUAUCGCGAGUCUUGACCAGUUUUUCAGAAUUUCUUGCAAUCACCUUCAACCCACUAUUUUAUUUUGUAUUUUUAAUGGUGUGAAUAAGGGUGAGGAUUGGCCUUGUAGAAUUAUGUCCCCAGA